rnacentral:rRNA from 1 species
CCUACGGGCGGCUGCAGUGGGGAAUAUUGGACAAUGGGCGAAAGCCUGAUCCAGCCAUGCCGCGUGUGUGAAGAAGGCCUUCGGGUUGUAAAGCACUUUCAGUGGGGAAGAAAGCCUUGGGACUAAUACCCUCGAGGAAGGACAUUACCCACAGAAGAAGCACCGGCUAACUCCGUGCCAGCAGCCGCGGUAAUACGGAGGGUGCGAGCGUUAAUCGGAAUUACUGGGCGUAAAGCGCGCGUAGGCGGUCUGAUAAGCCGGUUGUGAAAGCCCCGGGCUCAACCUGGGAACGGCAUCCGGAACUGGCAGGCUAGAGUGCAGGAGAGGAAGGUAGAAUUCCCGGUGUAGCGGUGAAAUGCGUAGAGAUCGGGAGGAAUACCAGUGGCGAAGGCGGCCUUCUGGACUGACACUGACGCUGAGGUGCGAAAGCGUGGGUAGCAAACAGGACUAGAUACCCCAGUAGUC